GGGGAAGUAGUUUAAUAAAAACUUAAGCUUUGGGAGUUUAAAAUACCACCUGAGUGGUCUUCCUUA
rnacentral:tRNA from 1 species